GCUGGGUGUGGUGGUGUGCACCUGUCAUCCCAGCUACUCGGGAGGCUGAGGUGGGAGGAUCACCUGAGCCCAGGGAGGUUGAGGCUGCAGUGAGCCAUGAUCAGACCACUGCACACCAACCUGGGUGAUAGAGUGAGACCCCAUCUCAA
ensembl:misc_RNA Metazoa_SRP Metazoan signal recognition particle RNA